CCGACAGCAGCCGAGCUCCGAGGACUGCCUUGUGUCUGACAGAGCACACGGAGCCCUGAGCCUUCUUCCCGGCUGGCUAUGCUUGGGAGGGCUGCCCAGGCGUUCCCUAAGGAGCAGCGGGCUCCUGUCUCAUUCUGGGCCUUCAAACUGCUGACCACAGGCUGAUGCCGAGCUGCCAGAAAGGACACCUAGAGCUUCUCCUUGACGACCCUCCCAGGUCAAGAAACUUCUGGGUGUCUUAGGACCAAGGCUGUUGAAGACUUCCAGAAGGGCUCUCUAUCCAGGCAAAGCAUGCUGCACCUUAGCUGAGCCUCCUCCCCAAACUGCUGCUGACAAGAAACCAAUCUUCCUGGGCGAUGUGCUUCUGAGUGUUCUGCUGAGGAACCAUGGGAGGCCUGUCCAGCAGAGGGAGAAUGCUGACAAGCCCGAGCUCAAGGCCCUGUGCCCUGAGCCAGGGGCCUGGGCCCACAGAAGCAGAGAGAAGCAAGGUCACAGCCGUGGCCCUGGGCGGUUUUCCAGCAGGUGAGCCCGCCGAGCCCUCGCUGAGGCUGGGGGAGCCG